rnacentral:misc_RNA from 1 species
AAGGAGCACCACGAAAAGCGCCCCCAACUGGUGGGGUGCAAGCCGUGAGGGUUCUCGCCUGUAGUGGGCGGGGGCCGGGUGCGCAACAGCAAAUGAUUGCCAGACACACUAUUGGGCCCUGAGACAACACUCGGCCAGUCCGCGUGGUGUCCCCCCAUCUUGGUGGUGGGGUGUGGUGUUUGAGUAUUGGAUAGUGGUUGCGAGCAUCUAAACGGAUGCGCUGCCCGUAGACGCGUAUUCGUUUGUGUAAUUUCUUCUUUGGUUUUUGUGUU